GUGGCUGUGGCGCAGGUGGUAGAGUGGACUGUCCACUAAUCGUAGGGUUGGGGGUUCAAUUCCCGGCCUCCACA